rnacentral:rRNA from 1 species
GCUUGUCUCAAAGAUUAAGCCAUGCAUGUCUAAGUAUAAAUAAUUCUAUACUGUGAAACUGCGAAUGGCUCAUUAUAUCAGUUAUAGUUUAUUUGAUAGUCCCUUACUACUUGGAUAACCGUAGUAACUCUAGAGCUAAUACAUGCGCAAAUUCCCGACUGUCGCAAGGCGGAAAGGAUGUAUUUAUUAGAUCCAACCAGCCCGGUUCGCCGGAGUCCCUGGUGAGUCAUGAUAACCGAGCGAAUGGCAUGGCAUCAGCUGGCGAUGUACCAUUCAAGUUUCUGACCUAUCAGCUUCCGACGGUAGGGUAUUGGCCUACCGUGGCAAUGACGGGUAGCGGAGAAUUAGGGUUCGAUUCCGGAGAGGGAGCCUGAGAAACGGCUACCACAUCUAAGGAAGGCAGCAGG